UACGUAGGGACCAAGCGUUGUCCGGAAUCAUUGGGCGUAAAGAGCGUGUAGGCGGCUUGUUAAGUCUUGCGUGAAAUCUCGGGGCUUAACCCCGAGCGGUCGUGAGAAACUGGCAGGCUAGAGUGCGGGAGAGGAGAGUGGAAUUCCCGGUGUAGCGGUGAAAUGCGCAGAUAUCAGGAAGAACACCCGUGGCGAAGGCGGCUCUCUGGAACGCAACUGACGCUGAGACGCGAAAGCGUGGGGAGCAAACAGG
rnacentral:rRNA from 1 species